rnacentral:rRNA from 1 species
UGGGGAAUUUUGGACAAUGGGCGAAAGCCUGAUCCAGCCAUGCCGCGUGAGUGAAGAAGGCCUUCGGGUUGUAAAGCUCUUUCGCAAGGAAAGAAAACUUACAUAUUAAUACUAUGUGAGGAUGACGGUACCUUGAUAAGAAGCACCGGCUAACUACGUGCCAGCAGCCGCGGUAAUACGUAGGGUGCAAGCGUUAAUCGGAAUUACUGGGCGUAAAGCGAGCGCAGGCGGUUUUGUAAGUCAGAUGUGAAAGCCCCGGGCUCAACCUGGGAACUGCGUUUGAAACUACAAGGCUAGAGUAUGGGAGAGGGAGGUAGAAUUCCACGUGUAGCAGUGAAAUGCGUAGAGAUGUGGAGGAAUACCAAUGGCGAAGGCAGCCUCCUGGCCUAAUACUGACGCUCAUGCUCGAAAGCGUGGGGAGCAAACAGG